rnacentral:rRNA from 1 species
GUGAUGACGAGGCACUACGGUGCUGAAGUAACAAAUGCCCUGCUUCCAGGAAAAGCCUCUAAGCAUCAGGUAACACGAAAUCGUACCCCAAACCGACACAGGUGGUCAGGUAGAGAAUACCAAGGCGCUUGAGAGAACUCGGGUGAAGGAACUAGGCAAAAUGGUGCCGUAACUUCGGGAGAAGGCACGCUGAUAUGUAGGUGAAG